rnacentral:rRNA from 1 species
GUGAGUAGUUCAGAGUUUGAUCCUGGCUCAGGAUGAACGCUGGCGGCGUGCUUAACACAUGCAAGUCGAACGAAGCACUUCUAAUUGAUUUCUUCGGAAUGAAGUUAUUGGUGACUGAGUGGCGGACGGGUGAGUAACGCGUGGGUAACCUGCCCCAUACAGGGGGAUAACAGUUAGAAAUGACUGCUAAUACCGCAUAAGCGCACAGGACCGCAUGGUCUGGUGUGAAAAACUCCGGUGGUAUGAGAUGGACCCGCGUCUGAUUAGCUAGUUGGUGAGGUAACGGCCCACCAAGGCGACGAUCAGUAGCCGACCUGAGAGGGUGACCGGCCACAUUGGGACUGAGACACGGCCCAA